rnacentral:rRNA from 1 species
AACGAACGCUGGCGGCAGGCUUAACACAUGCAAGUCGAGCGCCCCGCAAGGGGAGCGGCAGACGGGUGAGUAACGCGUGGGAAUCUACCCAUCUCUACGGAAUAACGCAUGGAAACGUGUGCUAAUACCGUAUACGUCCUUCGGGAGAAAGAUUUAUCGGAGAUGGAUGAGCCCGCGUUGGAUUAGCUAGUUGGUGGGGUAAGGGCCUACCAAGGCGACGAUCCAUAGCUGGUCUGAGAGGAUGAUCAGCCACACGGGGACUGAGACACGGCCAAGACUCGUACGGGAGGAAGCAGUGGGGAAUACUGGACAAUGGGCGCAAGCCUGAUCCAGCCAUGCCGCGUGAGUGAUGAAGGCCCUAGGGUUGUAAAGCUCUUUCACCGGUGAAGAUAAUGACGGUAACCGGAGAAGAAGCCCCGGCUAACUUCGUGCCAGCCGCCGCCGUAACAC